ensembl:misc_RNA 7SK 7SK RNA
GGAUGUGAGGGAGAUCUGGCUACGACAUCUGUCACCCCAUUGAUCACCAGUGUUGAUUCGGCUGAUCUGGCAGGCUAGGCAGGUGUCUCCUUCCUCCCUUACCGCUCCAUGUGCAUCCCUCCCAAAGCUGCGAGCUUGGUUGGAGAGGAUGACCUUCCCUGAUAGAGGAGGACCAUUCUUCAGUCAAGAGUGCGUGAGCAGCUGCACUCCCCUGCUAGAACCUCCAAACAAACUAUCAAGGUCCAUUUGUAGGAGAAUAUAGGGUAGUCAAGCUUCCAAAGCUCCAGACACAUCCAAAGGAGGCGCUGAAUGUGGCAGUCUGCCUUUCUUU